AGAUAGAGACCCCCAAAGCCCACAGCAACUCGGUUUCCAGCUCGGAGGAACCUGAAGGCGCGUCAGGAGAGUCGCCGGUUCCUACAUCCACGCGGCACCUUGGCAAAGACCACAAGAAAUACGAGAAUUAUCCGCAUCCGAAAGGAGUCAACGAUAUCAGUGAUGAACAUCGACGCGCCAAGUCACAGGUCGGCAAAGGAUCGGGUCACCUGAACACCCUCCACCGCGGUCGUCAACCAGGAUACCCCGUUCGGCCGGACCAGGACAGCGGGGCACGCUCAGCGACGCCCCACUUGGCCCUCCUCCUCCUGCUGCCGCUCUUCUCCCUCGCCUUCUGCCCCCCCUUCAGGCUACUUUCCCUCCCUUGGUCGUCUCUGCGCCUGUAGUCGUUGCGUAGAUAGGCUUCGCUCACGGAGGAGAGUUCUGACGAAGAGAUGAGGCGAGAAAGGGUAUUGUGGGGCGUCUGUGGGUUUGUGUGUGAUCUGGAACGUGUCUUUGGGGUGUGGGUUUUAGCGUUGGGUGGUACCGUGGGCGGUGAGGUAAUAAAUGGAGGAAAUAGAAGAGAGAGAAAAGAAGGAGAGCGAGAGAAUGAGAUUAUUAUUAUUAUUGUUUUUUGUAGUUUAUUUCUACGAGAUUCUACUAAGCGAGAGUUUAGUAUCUGAUGUUUCUUUAUGAAAGACAAAAUACGAAAAAGAAAAAUAGUCACAAAAUUAUCGAAAGACGCACUACGAAAGAAAUAAAGAAGUGAAAGUGAAAAAAGAAGAAAAAAAUCAGUCAACAAAAUACCU